UACGUAGGGUGCGAGCGUUGUCCGGAAUUACUGGGCGUAAAGAGCUCGUAGGUGGUUUGUCGCGUUGUUCGUGAAAACUCACAGCUCAACUGUGGGCGUGCGGGCGAGACGGGCAGACUGGAGUACUGCAGGGGAGACUGGAAUUCCUGGUGUAGCGGUGGAAUGCGCAGAUAUCAGGAGGAACACCGGUGGCGAAGGCGGGUCUCUGGGCAGUAACUGACGCUGAGGAGCGAAAGCGUGGGGAGCGAACAGG
rnacentral:rRNA from 1 species